AGGACAUGGGUCGGAAGUUUUUGUCGUGAACAGGUAAGGGGAAGCGAUGUUCUUCCGCUUGUCAUUCCUCUGCCAAUGCUCUCCUGCUUCGUCCUCCUUCAGACUCUUCGUCGCCUCUCUCACUCACUCUCUUCUGCCGUUUGCUUCUUCGGUUUCCUUGUUCUCAUUUCUUCCCUCCAAAUCGAGAUGCGGAGUAACGCCGUCUGUUUGGGCGCUUCCUGUUCCGAUCCCCUCUGCACUCCACCCAACUGUUCUGGCUGGGAAAGCGCAUCCUUUCCAUUUUUCAGCUGCGACGUCGGCCGUUUUACCCGUUUUUAGCCGUGUGUUUCUUCUUACACAGAUUCCUUGUACGGUUGCGGAGGCUUCUUCAAAAUAAACGUUCGGCCUUAUGCAUGUCAAAGCAUCGUCUGUUUGCCUCAUUUUGCUAGUUUUUUCGGCGUCUAGAGUUAUACAGUCGGCUUCGCAGAAGCGAAUUCUGAGCGAUGAUGCUCUUUCACAGAAAGUGUUUGAAGUUUUGGUUCGCUGUAUGUAGUCGUGAUACAAUAUUUUGAGCGGAUAUUUGGGUCGUGAGUUCGGAUGGAUUUUGAGGCGUACGGAGAGACUUUGAAGGAUGGAGUUGGCCUCUAAGGAGGUUCAGUUGGAGGCGUGGGCAACUGGUGGGAGGCCAAAGAAGGAUCACGAGAAGGAAAAUAAGAAGGGCGAGGACAUUGGCUGCUGGACUAAGUUUCGGUCCAUGGGGAAUUGCAUUUCGGCGAGAUCCAAAGUUGAUGCAUCUCUCAGCAGCAUCAGCACUCAGGGCGAAAUUAAAUCAACAGUUCAUGGUAGCAGCAAGGAUAAGUCAGCUACAGUAGUAUCUGGUUCAAUGACCGCGAGUAGUUCUUGUAGUAAUUCAUCUACUUCUAAAGUAGGUGAAGAUAUAAAAGUUGCUUCGCAGUUGCGCAAAUUUACCUACAAUGACUUGAAGUCUGCCACAAGAAACUUCAGGCCAGAGAGCCUUCUGGGAAAGGGAGGAUUUGGUUGCGUGUUCAAGGGAUGGAUUGAAGAGAAUGGUAUAGCUCCUGUUAAACCUGGUACAGGACUUACAGUCGCCGUCAAGACACUUAACCAUGAUGGACUUCAAGGGCAUAAAGAGUGGCUGGCUGAAGUUAAUUUUCUUGGUGAUCUUCGGCAUCCAAAUUUGGUAAAGUUGAUUGGGUAUUGUAUCGAGGAUGAUCAGAGAUUGCUAGUAUAUGAGUUUAUGCCACGAGGAAGUUUGGAAAAUCAUCUUUUCAGAAGAUCCCUUCCUUUGCCAUGGUCAAUUAGAAUGAAAAUUGCAUUUGGUGCAGCGAAGGGUCUUGCUUUUCUUCACGAGGAGGCAGAAAGACCAGUAAUAUAUCGUGAUUUCAAAACAUCAAACAUUCUUCUAGAUGUGGAUUAUGAGGCUAAGCUUUCAGAUUUUGGGCUCGCCAAAGAUGGUCCUGAGGGUGACAAGACUCAUGUAUCAACAAGAGUGAUGGGAACGUAUGGGUAUGCAGCUCCAGAAUAUGUCAUGACAGGUCACUUAACAUCCAAAAGUGAUGUCUAUAGUUUCGGCGUCGUGCUACUCGAAAUGAUGACAGGUCGGAGAUCAAUGGACAAAAAUCAACCAAAUGGGGAGCUCAACCUGGUGGAAUGGGCACGCUACUAUCUAGGAGAAAGACGACGCUUCUACAAACUUGUUGAUCCUCGUCUGGAAGGCAACUUCUCAAUCAAAGGUGCACAGAAGGUAGCUCAACUCGCACAUGCCUGCCUCAGUCGAGACCCCAAGAUGCGCCCGCCCAUGAGCGAGGUGGUUGAUUCGCUCAGACCAUUGCUCAACCUCAAAGACAUCGCUAGCUCUUCCUACUUUUUCCGGACUAUGCAUGCGGAACGAUCUGCUUCCUACUCAAACGGUAGACUCAAGCGGUAGACCAGGAGCCUUUAGCGCGGUGUUUAUGCUUCUCGAUAACAUCUGCCAAUGAAACCAAAUGGCAACCAAUCAAAGUGGUGCUACUUUUGCUGAACUGCAAAAUCGACUGUACAAUCUCGAGGAAUAUGCAACUUAACGAGGCCAGAGGAAUAAACCAGGUAGACGCCCACGCCUCGCUCGCCCUUUUGUCCACGUAUCAAAAUAGCCACUCACUUUACCAUUUGCCUUAUGCGAAUGCACACAUAACGCCCAGUUUCCGAUAUCCCAACCUCAUCUCAUCUCAGCCACACAAUUAGAUGAUCGAACGGACACAGUUCCAUCUAGACGAGAAUCAAGCUUGCCAGCCCCAUCUGUAUCGGAAGUGGAUAACGGAAUGAGAUUGGUUACGCAUUCGAAUAUAACGGGAAUAAAUGAAAACCUAUUCCAACACUGUCGGGUUUCUUUAUAGUCAUCGAGGAGCUGCUUUGUUCCGUCGCCUUUGGUUCAACGCUGCGCCGCCUCCGCUGAUAUCCCGAUCGAGUAAGGCGAUGGCUCCGGGUCUAUACUCCGAUAUCGGCAAGAGGACUAGGGAUCUUCUAUAUAAGGAUUACCAGACAGAUCAUAAGUUUACAGUCACGACAUACUCCUCUACUGGCGUUGCAAUUACUGCUUCGGGAACAAAGAAAAGUGAUUUGAUUUUUGGGGAGAUCCAGUCUGUGAUAAAGAACAAUAAUAUUACGUUUGAUGUGAAGGCAAAGUCAGACUCAAAUGUUACAACAACAGUUACCGUUGAUGAAUUCACAGUUCCUGGUUUAAAGACAAUUUUUAGUUUUGUUGUCCCAGAUCAAAGGUCUGGAAAGAUCGAACUUCAAUAUCUGCAUGCUUAUACUGGGGUUAACGCCAGCAUUGGAUUGACUGCCAAUCCCGUUGUCAAUCUGUCCAGUGUAGUUGGUACUAAAACUUUCGCUGUUGGUGCUGAUGUAGCAUAUGAUACAGCAUCAGGUAAUUUCACCAAGUACAAUGCUGGGUUUAGCGUCAUCAAUGCUGACCUUAUUGCUGCAUUGAAUUUGAACAACAAGGGCGAUAGCUUGAGCGCAUCAUACUACCACUUGGUCAGUCCAUUGUCGAACACAGCAGUCGGCGCAGAGUUCACUCACAACUUUCCGACUAAUGAGAACACCCUCACCUUUGGGACACAGCAUGCCUUGGACCCUCUGACCUUGGUGAAGGCGCGCUUCAACAGUUACGGUAAGGCUAGCGCUCUCAUUCAGCAUGAAUGGAGGCCAAAAUCAUUCCUAACCAUCUCCGGGGAGGUGGACACCAAGGCCAUCGAGAAGAGCUCGAAGGUUGGCUUGGCCCUGGUGCUCAAGCCUUGACACGGGGACUCAUCUGCCUGCUCCAAUUUCGAAGUUCCAUGCACCGAAUGGAGUUUUGACAACUCAUGAUGGUGGUUUCAUCGUGACUCGGUCAGAUUUUGCUUGCAAAUUGUUUUUAGCUGCUACUCAUGGUACAUUUUGGCUUUCCACUAAUGCAAUUUGGCAUGUAAUAAUGAAAUUCUUGUGGGGUGAUUAGAAACUGAGAUGGCGACCACCCUUUUGACUUUUUUUUAUCUUUUUAAACUCGUUCUGAGCACAGGUAAUGCCAAACUGUGUUUUCUCUUUA